AUAGUGGUCGUUCAGUGGUAGAAUUCUCACCUUCCACGUAGGAGACCUGAGUUCAAUUCCCAGCCGAUGCA
rnacentral:tRNA from 1 species